rnacentral:rRNA from 1 species
AGCGGGAAGAGCUCAAAUUUGAAAUCUGGUAGCCUUCGGUUGCCCGAGUUGUAAUCUAGAGAAGUGUUUUCCGUGCCGGCCCAUGUACAAGUCCCUUGGAACAGGGCGUCAUAGAGGGUGAGAAUCCCGUCCUUGACAUGGACCCCCGGUGCUUUGUGAUACACUUUCAACGAGUCGAGUUGUUUGGGAAUGCAGCUCAAAAUGGGUGGUGAAUUCCAUCUAAAGCUAAAUAUUGGCGAGAGACCGAUAGCGAACAAGUACCGUGAGGGAAAGAUGAAAAGCACUUUGGAAAGAGAGUUAAACAGUACGUGAAAUUGUUGAAAGGGAAACGAUUGAAGUCAGUCAUGCUCUUGGGACUUACCUCCCUUGAGUGGGGUCAACAUCAGUUUUGAUCGAUGGAUAAAGGCACGGGGAAGGUAGCACUCUCGGGUGAACUUAUAGCCUCGCGUCAUAUACAUUGAUUGGGACUGAGGAACGCAGCAUGCCUUAUGGCCGGGAUUCGUCCACGUACAUGCU